rnacentral:rRNA from 1 species
AGAGUUUGAUCCUGGCUCAGGAUGAACGCUAGCGACAGGCUUAACACAUGCAAGUCGAGGGGCAGCGGUGGUGAAGGCUUGCCUUUACCAGCCGGCGACCGGCGCACGGGUGAGUAACACGUAUGCAACCUGCCUGCCACAGCCGGAUAAUCGGGAGAAAUUCCGUCUAAUACGGCAUAAUGCACCUAUGGGACAUCCUGUUGGUGCCAAAGGUUGAUUCCGGUGGCGGAUGGGCAUGCGUCGCAUUAGUUAGUUGGCGGUGUAACGGACCACCAAGACGACGAUGCGUAGGGGUUCUGAGAGGAAGGUCCCCCACACUGGUACUGAGACACGGACCAGACUCCUACGGGAGGCAGCAGUGAGGAAUAUUGGUCAAUGGGCGGGAGCCUGAACCAGCCAAGUCGCGUGAGGGAUGACGGCCCUAUGGGUUGUAAACCUCUUUUGCCGGGGAGCAAAGUGCCGCACGUGUGCGGUUUGGAGAGUACCCGGAGAAAAAGCAUCGGCUAACUCCGUGCCAGCAGCCGCGGUAAUACGGAGGAUGCGAGCGUUAUCCGGAUUUAUUGGGUUUAAAGGGUGCGUAGGCGGACGCUUAAGUCAGCGGUAAAAUUGCGGGGCUCAACCUCGUCGAGCCGUUGAAACUGGGUGCCUUGAGUGGGCGAGAAGUACGCGGAAUGCGUGGUGUAGCGGUGAAAUGCAUAGAUAUCACGCAGAACUCCGAUUGCGAAGGCAGCGUACCGGCGCCCAACUGACGCUGAAGCACGAAGGCGUGGGUAUCGAACAGGAUUAGAUACCCUGGUAGUCCACGCAGUAAACGAUGAAUGCUAGUUGUCCGGGGCGAUUGAGUUCUGGGUGACACAGCGAAAGCGUUAAGCAUUCCACCUGGGGGGUACGCCGGCAACGGUGAAACUCAAAGGAAUUGACGGGGGCCCGCACAAGCGGAGGAACAUGUGGUUUAAUUCGAUGAUACGCGAGGAACCUUACCCGGGCUCAAACGCAGGAGGGAUGUUUUUGAAAGGAGGCAGCCAGCAAUGGUCUCCUGCGAGGUGCUGCAUGGUUGUCGUCAGCUCGUGCCGUGAGGUGUCGGCUUAAGUGCCAUAACGAGCGCAACCCCUACCUACAGUUGCCAUCGCGUGAUGGCGGGCACUCUGUGGGGACUGCCUGCGCAAGCAGUGAGGAAGGCGGGGAUGACGUCAAAUCAGCACGGCCCUUACGUCCGGGGCGACACACGUGUUACAAUGGCAGGUACAGCGGGAAGCCACCCGGCGACGGGGCGCGGAACCCGAAAACCUGUCUCAGUUCGGAUUGGAGUCUGCAACCCGACUCCAUGAAGCUGGAUUCGCUAGUAAUCGCGCAUCAGCCACGGCGCGGUGAAUACGUUCCCGGGCCUUGCACACAACGCCCGUCAAG